GCUGGCCUCCGUUAACCCUACCCAUGGUUACGUUGCUCUGUGUAAAAAGUUCGCCUUAGUUGUGUCGCCGUUUGCAUUCAAAGUGCCCGAAGCUUUAGUAAAGAGGACGCUGUGAGAAGGCCUGCAAACAGCCGCGUUCUAUGAUCCUUGUGCCGAUACUGUUGUCGCCUCGUCCCCCAGGAAGCGAGGCCUCUGUGAAGCGAGGCUAGCGGGACCAGUAAAUCGGUCAGUUUACCUCCUGGCAGCCAGGACCGCUAGCUAGAAAGGAGAAGGUGUAACCCUUUCAGCAGCAGCUGCGGGAAAGGGCAACUAUGCAAGACUCGUCAGACUGCGAUGUCUUGCAGCUGUGCAAGCAGCUGCAGGAGAUACGUGCCCAGCUUGCCAAGGCCAGGGCCAAGGCGCAAGUCGACGGCACUGUCCAGGACAAAGCAGCUGCGAAAUUGGACGAAGUGUGCGAGUUAUUGCAGCUAGAAAACCAGGGGGACGGUUCUAGUAUUCCAAAAGGUGCAACUGAAAACAGUAAUGCGAAAGACUGAGCACAAGGCCCUGGAUGCAGGUGCUGAUGGUCAUGAGGCCCUGGAUGCAGUUGCCGAUGAGGUAGCUUGCGGUCCGGCUGUGUGCGCGGCGAACGAAACGGUGGGGUACAUUGACGAGCCCAACCCGCUGCAGCUCAUCAUCGAUGCUGCGAACCUCGACUUAGCCUGCGAGACCGUCUCAACCACUGAAGACUUGGGCAGCGACACCACAGAUAGGAAGCCGCCCGCAGGAAUUGACAGAGUGAGUGACGGCGUAACGAUAAGCUCCCCGCACAACGAAGACCACUGCUACGCGGUAGACUCGGCCAG
rnacentral:lncRNA from 1 species